rnacentral:rRNA from 1 species
UGAGGAAUAUUGGACAAUGGGGGAAACCCUGAUCCAGCCAUGCCGCGUGAGUGAUGAAGGCCUUAGGGUUGUAAAGCUCUUUUGUCCGGGAAGAUAAUGACUGUACCGGAAGAAUAAGCCCCGGCUAAAUUCGUGCCAGCAGCCGCGGUAAUACGAAUGGGGCAAGCGUUGUUCGGAAUCACUGGGCGUAAAGCGUGCGUAGGCGGUUUGGCAAGUCAGAAGUGAAAGCCCCGGGCUCAACCCGGGAACUGCUUUUGAAACUGCCAGACUAGUAUCUCGGAGAGGUUGGCGGAAUUCCCAGUGUAGAGGUGAAAUUCGCAGAUAUUGGGAGGAACACCAGUGGCGCAAGCGGCCAACUGGACGAGUAUAGACGCUGAGGCACGAAAGCGUGGGGAUCAAA